rnacentral:rRNA from 1 species
UACGACUACAUAUCAGGCAUAUCAAUAAGCGGAGGAAAAGAAACUAACAAGGAUUCCCUUAGUAACGGCGAGUGAAGCGGGAAGAGCUCAAAUUUGAAAUCUUCAAGGUUUUACCUUGACGAAUUGUAGUUUAAAGAAGUGUUUUCUGUUGAAGUUUUGGUAAAAGUUCUUUGGAAUAGGACAUCAUAGAGGGUGAGAAUCCCGUAUUUGACCAUUAUUUUCAGCUGUGUGAUACACUUUCAAAGAGUCGGAUUGUUUGGGAAUGCAGUCCAAAAUGGGUGGUAAAUUUCAUCUAAAGCUAAAUAUUGGCGAGAGACCGAUAGCGAACAAGUACCGUGAGGGAAAGAUGAAAAGAACUUUGAAAAGAGAGUUAAACAGUACGUGAAAUUGUCAAAAGGGAAGCGUUUGACACCAGUGUUGUUUUCUCGAAAAUCAAUUAAAAAAAGUUGGAUUUUGUGUUGUAUUGACCUUAACAGCUUGCUUCACUCUUUUCCAGCUUUUUUUAAUGCACUUUUCGUUUAACAAGUCAACAUCAGUUUCUUUUGUUGUAAAAGGGUCAUUGGAAGGUGGCUUUCUUUUCGGAGAAAGUGUUUAUAGCCUUUGAUCUCCUGCAAUCGGAGAGACUGAGGUCUGCAGCGUAGAUCCUUCGGGGUUAGAUACAUUUGUGCUAAGUUAUAGCCUUUUCAUAGACAACUUGUUGACUAUGUACCAGUCAUGUAACUUACUCGCUUAUGCUAUUUUACCUACGCUUAGGAUGUUGAGCGCAUGUCUCUCUC